rnacentral:tRNA from 1 species
CCGAUGUAGCUCAGCUGGCUAGAGCAGCUGAUUUGUAAUCAGCAGGUCGUGGGUUCGAGUCCCUCCAUCG